UGGGACGGUUAUCCGGGAUUAUUGGGCGUAAAGAGCUCGUAGGCGGUUUGUCGCGUCUGCCGUGAAAGUCCGGGGCUCAACUCCGGAUCUGCGGUGGGUACGGGCAGACUAGAGUGAUGUAGGGGAGACUGGAAUUCCUGGUGUAGCGGUGAAAUGCGCAGAUAUCAGGAGGAACACCGAUGGCGAAGGCAGGUCUCUGGGCAUUAACUGACGCUGAGGAGCGAAAGCAUGGGGAGCGAACAGGAUUAGAUACCCUGGUAGUCCAUGCCGUAAACGUUGGGCACUAGGUGUGGGGGACAUUCCACGUUUUCCGCGCCGUAGCUAACGCAUUAAGUGCCCCGCCUGGGGAGUACGGCCGCAAGGCUAAAACUCAAAGGAAUUGACGGGGGCCCGCACAAGCGGCGGAGCAUGCGGAUUAAUUCGAUGCAACGCGAAGAACCUUACCAAGGCUUGACAUGGACCGGACCGGGCUGGAAACAGUCCUUCCCCUUUGGGGCCGGUUCACAGGUGGUGCAUGGUUGUCGUCAGCUCGUGUCGUGAGAUGUUGGGUUAAGUCCCGCAACGAGCGCAACCCUCGUUCCAUGUUGCCAGCGCGUAAUGGCGGGGACUCAUGGGAGACUGCCGGGGUCAACUCGGAGGAAGGUGGGGACGACGUCAAAUCAUCAUGCCCCUUAUGUCUUGGGCUUCACGCAUGCUACAAUGGCCGGUACAAAGGGUUGCGAUACUGUGAGGUGGAGCUAAUCCCAAAAAGCCGGUCUCAGUUCGGAUUGGGGUCUGCAACUCGACCCCAUGAAGUCGGAGUCGCUAGUAAUCGCAGAUCAGCAACGCUGCGGUGAAUACGUUCCCGGGCCUUGUACACACCGCCCGUCAAGUCACGAAAGUUGGUAACACCCGAAGCCGGUGGCCUAACCCCUUGUGGGAGGGAGCUGUCGAAAGUGGGACUGGCGAUUGGGACUAAGUCGUAACAAGGUAACC
rnacentral:rRNA from 1 species